CUAGUGUGGCGUCUAAUUGUCAAGUUCAUAACCUUUACAUAAAUGCCGCCAGCGCAGCCUCCGCCAGCUAUAGCGCACUGCCCCUUAGCAUACCGUACAUAAGUAGACCUUACCGGGCCAGCUACCGAAAGAGACUUGCGGAUGUUACACGUCAAAUUAAAUAAUAGAUGCAGAAAUUCUCCCCCUUUUCCCCGUUUCUUUUUUUUAAAUCAAUGUUUUCGUAUUUGUUGUGCCAUUAAAUGUGCAACUUUAUUCAAAA